rnacentral:rRNA from 1 species
GAACUAGAGACCGGCGCACGGGUGCGUAACGCGUAUGCAAUCUACCUUUUACAGGGGGAUAGCCCAGAGAAAUUUGGAUUAAUACCCCAUAGUAUGUUAGAGUGGCAUCAUUUUAACAUUAAAGUUCCAACGGUAAAAGAUGAGCAUGCGUCCCAUUAGCUAGAUGGUAAGGUAACGGCUUACCAUGGCGACGAUGGGUAGGGGUCCUGAGAGGGAGAUCCCCCACACUGGUACUGAGACACGGACCAGACUCCUACGGGAGGCAGCAGUGAGGAAUAUUGGACAAUGGGCGCAAGCCUGAUCCAGCCAUGCCGCGUGCAGGAAGACGGUCCUAUGGAUUGUAAACUGCUUUUGUACAGGAAGAAACACUCCCUCGUGAGGGAGCUUGACGGUACUGUAAGAAUAAGGAUCGGCUAACUCCGUGCCAGCAGCCGCGGUAAUACGGAGGAUCCAAGCGUUAUCCGGAAUCAUUGGGUUUAAAGGGUCCGUAGGCGGCUUUAUAAGUCAGUGGUGAAAGCCCAUCGCUCAACGAUGGAACGGCCAUUGAUACUGUAGAGCUUGAAUUAUUAGGAAGUAACUAGAAUAUGUAGUGUAGCGGUGAAAUGCUUAGAGAUUACAUGGAAUACCAAUUGCGAAGGCAGGUUACUACUAAUGGAUUGACGCUGAUGGACGAAAGCGUGGGGAGCGAACAGGAUUAGAUACCCUGGUAGUCCACGCCGUAAACGAUGGAUACUAGCUGUUGGGGGCAACUUCAGUGGCUAAGCGAAAGUGAUAAGUAUCCCACCUGGGGAGUACGUUCGCAAGAAUGAAACUCAAAGGAAUUGACGGGGGCCCGCACAAGCGGUGGAGCA